UAUGGAAUGUUCUUAACCCAGAAGUAGCUGAAUGUGUUACUCCAUUGCUGAGGAGUGACUAUCUGUUAUAGUCCCUGGGUCAAGACAACAAUUUUUAUACCUUCGUCGUGGUUCAGAAAGGAGUCUCUGUAGAACCAGAAGCAAAGAAAGGAAACAAUCCAAAUUUUUCUUUAUUAAAUCGACUGUGUAAGAUACUUGACUUCCAGGAACAAAAACACGGUGAAAUAAUAAAAUUUCAUCUUGGCAUCACUGGACAUCAUCGUAUUGAGGAGCGUAUUUUUGGAACUUCCCGAGUUGAGAUUUGGAACCUUCAUUGGUGCUCAUUUACUGUGGACUGUAAGCAUGAGUGAAUUCUGGUUGUGUUUCAACUGCUGUAUUGCAGAACAGCCUCAGCCUGUAAGCGACGGCGGAUUGACAGAAGUAUGAUUGGAGAGCCCACAAACUUUGUGCAUACAGCUCAUGUUGGAUCAGGAGACCUGUUCAGUGGAAUGAAUUCAGUUAGCUCCAUUCAGAACCAAAUGCAGUCCAAGGGAGGUUAUGGAGGUGGAAUGCCUGCCAAUGUCCAGAUGCAGCUCGUGGAUACGAAGGCGGGAUAGCCCUGGUCCUUUCUCCAGUGAGUACUCAGAGCUGGGGUCUGGACCUGACGGCCAGACAUGGCCAGGCCAAUAAUAGUAAAUAUAUGUAUAUAUAUAUAAUUUUUUAAUGGUGAACUUAUUGGGAAAGGCAAAAUUACUCAGCUAAGUGUAGUUUCUGCACUUGGAAUGUAAGUUUUAGGUUCUUUUCCUUAUUAAGAACUUUAAAUACUUUAAAACAUCUGGUUGGGGAGGAUUCUGAUGACAAGAUGCUUCUUAUGUGUCCUUUAAACAAGAGUGAAAUCAUUAUUUUGAGUAUUGAGGCCGAGCAUGGUGGCUCACACCUGUAAUCCCAGCACUUUGGGAGGCCUAGGUGGGCUGAUCACCUGAGGCCAGGAAUUGGAGACUAGCCUGGCCAACAUGGUGAAACCCCAUCUCUACUAAAAAUACAAAAAUUAGCUGGGCAUGGUGGCGCAUGCCUGUAAUCGCAGCUACUCAGGAGGCUGAGGCACGAGAAUUGCUUGAACCUGGGAGGCAGGGGUUGCAGUCAGCUGAGAAUGCGCCACUGCGCUCCAGCCUGGGUGACAGAGCAAGACCCUGUCUCAAAAAAGUACUGAUACUAAAGAUAAUCUCUUGGGUAGUAAUUUUACAGUUAAGACUUCAUUGUUUAUAAACUUUUCAAAUUAAUUAAAAAGACUACUUUG
rnacentral:lncRNA from 1 species